CCGGCACGGGUGAGUAACACGUAUGCAAUCCACCUGUAACAGGGGAGUAACCCGGAGAAAUCCGGACUAAUACCCAUAAUAUGGGCGCUCCGCAUGGAGAGCCCAUUAAAGAGAGCAAUUUUGGUUACAGACGAGCAUGCGCUCCAUUAGCCAGUUGGCGGGGUAACGGCCCACCAAAGCGACGAUGGAUAGGGGUUCUGAGAGGAAGGUCCCCCACAUUGGAACUGAGACACGGUCCAA
rnacentral:rRNA from 1 species